rnacentral:tRNA from 2 species
GCCACUGUGGCUCAGCAGGCAGAGCGACGCCUUGGUAAGGCGUAGGUCGGGGGUUCAAAUCCCCCCAGUGGCU